rnacentral:rRNA from 1 species
CCUACGGGUGGCAGCAGUGAGGAAUAUUGGUCAAUGGGCGCGAGCCUGAACCAGCCAAGUAGCGUGAAGGAUGACUGCCCUACGGGUUGUAAACUUCUUUUAUAAAGGAGUAAAGUGAGGCACGUGUGCCUUUUUGAAUGUACUUUAUGAAUAAGGAUCGGCGAACUCCGUGCCAGCAGCCGCAGUAAUACGGAGGAUCCGAGCGUUAUCCUGAUUUAUUGGGUUUAAAGGGAGCGUAGAUGGGGUAUUAAGACAGUUGUGAAAGUUUGCGGCUCAACCGUAAAAUUGCAAUUGAUACUGGCAGUCUUGAGUACAGUUGAGGUAGGCGGAAUUCGUGGUGUAGCGGUGAAAUGCUGAGAUAUCACGAAGAACUCCGAUUGCGAAGGCAGCUUACUAAACUGCCACUGACAUUGAUGCUCGAAAGUGUGGGUAUCAAACAGGAUUAGAUACCCCAGUAGUC